CUACGGGGUGCUGCAGUGGGGAAUAUUGCACAAUGGACGAAAGUCUGAUGCAGCAACGCCGCGUGGAGGAUGACACAUUUCGGUGCGUAAACUCCUUUUAUAGGUCAAGAUAAUGACGGUAGCCUAUGAAUAAGCGCCGGCUAACUCCGUGCCAGCAGCCGCGGUAAUACGGAGGGCGCAAGCGUUACUCGGAAUCACUGGGCGUAAAGAGCGUGUAGGCGGGUUAAUAAGUCAGAAGUGAAAUCCAAUGGCUCAACCAUUGAACUGCUUUUGAAACUGUUAACCUAGAGUAUGGGAGAGGUAGAUGGAAUUUCUGGUGUAGGGGUAAAAUCCGUAGAGAUCAGAAGGAAUACCGAUUGCGAAGGCGAUCUACUGGAACAUUACUGACGCUGAGACGCGAAAGCGUGGGGAGCAAACAGGAUUAGAUACCCUGGUAGUC
rnacentral:rRNA from 1 species